rnacentral:lncRNA from 1 species
GGCCCCUUGUUGGUAUUUCCAACGUGAUUACAAACAGGAUGGUCAAACCUCUUUUUUUAGCAAAGACAUUAGAAAUGUUCGAAACAUUUUUAGCAUUGCUUAAGUCAGGUUGUAAUCUCCAACACAACACCAAAAGAUGUGGUUGUACUUAUGAUCAUAGCACUAUAGAAAAUGAAUAGAAGUUAUCCGCAAGGGCAGAUGUAAAAUACAUCCAUUGUAGCAUUUCAGCCAGUAAAGUUUCAGGUAUCGUUAUUUAUAAUUUUACCACUGAAAAGACACUUGGAGGUAUGAAAGCUAUAUCUUACACUUGUGAUAAGAGUUCCACUAGAUCAAUACUCAAAACAG